AUUGAACGCUGGCGGCAGGCCUAACACAUGCAAGUCGAGCGGAUGAAGGGAGCUUGCUCCUGGAUUCAGCGGCGGACGGGUGAGUAAUGCCUAGGAAUCUGCCUGGUAGUGGGGGAUAACGUCCGGGAACGGGCGCUAAUACCGCCUACGUCCUGAGGGAGAAAGUGGGGGGUCUUCGGACCUCACGCUAUCAGAUGAGCCUAGGUCGGAUUAGCUAGUUGGUGGGGUAAAGGCCUACCAAGGCGACGAUCCGUAACUGGUCUGAGAGGAUGAUCAGUCACACUGGAACUGAGACACGGUCCAGACUCCUACGGGAGGCAGCAGUGGGGAAUAUUGGACAAUGGGCGAAAGCCUGAUCCAGCCAUGCCGCGUGUGUGAAGAAGGUCUUCGGAUUGUAAAGCACUUUAAGUUGGGAGGAAGGGCAGUAAGUUAAUACCUUGCUGUUUUGACGUUACCAACAGAAUAAGCACCGGCUAACUUCGUG
rnacentral:rRNA from 1 species